rnacentral:tRNA from 1 species
GGUAAAAUGGCUGAUUUAAGGUGAUAAAUUGUAAAUUUAUUUAUGAAGUUUUCUUUUACUG